GUAAAAGCAAGGAACAGAAGAGAUUAAGGGUAUCCUUUUAGAGAGUCUAUGGCUGGUGGAAAUAGAUAGGAGAACUUAUGAAGAUGAACUGGGAGCUGCUGCUUCUAACAGGAGUAGACGUUAACUCGCGUUAAGAGAAUGAGAGUCCGCAAGGAAAUAAAGGUGGUACCGCGAGCAAUUCGUCCUUUUG
rnacentral:ncRNA from 1 species